rnacentral:rRNA from 1 species
CCUGGCGGCCUUAGCGCGGUGGUCCCACCUGAUCCCAUGCCGAACUCAGAAGUGAAACGCCGUAGCGCCGAUGGUAGUGUGGGGU